rnacentral:rRNA from 1 species
GCGCCGAUUGGCGGGAGGGCCUACACAUGCAGUCGAACGGCAGCAACAGAGGAGCUUGCUCCUUGGGUGGCGAGUGGCGGACGGGUGAGGAAUACAUCGGAAUCUACUUUUUCGUGGGGGAUAACGUAGGGAAACUUACGCUAAUACCGCAUACGACCUACGGGUGAAAGCAGGGGACCUUCGGGCCUUGCGCGAUUGAAUGAGCCGAUGUCGGAUUAGCUAGUUGGCGGGGUAAAGGCCCACCAAGGCGACGAUCCGUAGCUGGUCUGAAAGGAUGAUCAGCCACACUGGAACUGAAACACGGUCCAGACUCCUACGGGAGGCAGCAGUGGGGAAUAUUGGACAAUGGGCGCAAGCCUGAUCCAGCCAUACCGCGUGGGUGAAGAAGGCCUUCGGGUUGUAAAGCCCUUUUGUUGGGAAAGAAAUCCAUCCGGCUAAUACCUGGGUUGGGAUGACGGCUACUCAAAAAUAAGCACCGGCUAAA